rnacentral:lncRNA from 1 species
UUUUGUUGUUUUUCAUUAUUUUUAUUUUUUGCACGUGUGGCCGGUUUUACUUUUGUUAAGUUAAGGAAUCAGCCAGCAGAGGGCUCUCAAAGGAACUUGAGUUCUCUUAAAUAUUCAGGUGAUAUCUUUGAGCUUUUAGUUCUUUUCUGUACUAAACGUUUUGAAAAGGGUAACCAAAACGAGUGAGCUGGUGACACAAUAGGCUAAAGCCUCAGCGUGCAUCACUAAUACUGAAUCUCAGCGAAAGGUCAGUAGGUGGCACAUGUCUGCAGCCACAGGUCCUGUUUCCUGUCCCACUUGUAGACAGUGCUGAGGUUCUUGUAGGUGGCACAUGUCUGCAGCCACAGGUCCUGUUUCCUGUACCCACUUGUAGACAGUGCUGAGGUUCUUGUAGGUGGCACAUGUCUGCAGCCACAGGUCCUGUUUCCUGUCCCACUUGUAGACAGUGCUGAGGUUCUUGUAGGUGGCACAUGUCUGCAGCCACAGGUCCUGUUUCCUGUCCCACUUGUAGACAGGGCUGAGGUUCUUGUAGGUGGCACAUGUCUGCAGCCACAGGUCCUGUUUCCUGU